GGUAGCAGAUGUAAACAGAUAAAUAUGGUGAAUAAGUAGAAUUUGGUAAUCGCAAAAGGAUAUUGAAUUUACCUCAACUUGCAAAUAAACAUUGCGAUGAGAAUUUUUGGAUCAGAACAAAAAUAUUAUCUGCUAGACUUUCACUGUGAAGAAGAUGAGAAUGAAUGGGACCUCUUCCUGGGACAGAUGACAGAUUGUCAAUGAUGUUCUUUGGAUUAUUGGCCAAGUUUUGGCAGCCCAGGGAUCUACUGGAGGUGGCACUGGAAACUGUAAAACCCUGGAAUUACUGCCAAAUGGUCAGCACAGCAUAAAGG